rnacentral:rRNA from 1 species
UACGUAGGGUGCAAGCGUUACUCGGAAUUACUGGGCGUAAAGCGUGCGUAGGUGGUCGUUUAAGUCUGUUGUGAAAGCCCUGGGCUCAACCUGGGAACUGCAGUGGAAACUGGACGACUAGAGUGUGGUAGAGGGUAGCGGAAUUCCCGGUGUAGCAGUGAAAUGCGUAGAGAUCGGGAGGAACAUCCAUGGCGAAGGCAGCUACCUGGACCAACACUGACACUGAGGCACGAAAGCGUGGGGAGCAAACAGG